UUGUCCAAACAAAACCAGCACAGGCAGCCUGAGCCAUUAGCAGAGUCAUAGUUUACCCCCCUCCUAUUUCUCCUGGUAAGAAGCCAGGGGUGUACGUGUGUGUGCAUAUGUGCCUGCUCACCUGCCUGCCUGUCUCUCUGUCCUUAGCAUUGCCUUGGCUGCAAACAAGGACUGACUGACAAUGUCUGUUCAUUUUAAAAGGGCAGAUAACCACUCAACAAUUAAUAUAUAACAGAUGGAACACUCUGAGGCAAAGAUGUUAAGUAUACUUUACCCCAAUUGUCAGGACUUGACCACGUUCAUUAAACAUGCCCUAAGAAGAUGUUAAGAAUCUACUUCACAGAAAGCCAGAGACUCACCAGAAACUGAACUCUCAGGAACAGAAAGAGGAGGCUGUUCCUCAAGGAGUUUGCAGCCGUAGAAUGCAGCUAAACAACCGGUCAUGCCAAUUCCAUGCACUGCUUUUUUAAUUUUUAAAUUGUAUGUGUUUGAUGUUUAUGGGCAUUUAGGUGUGUGCACCACACGCAUGCAGUGCCUGCAAAGGCCAGAAGAGGGCAUACAAUACCCUGGAACUUGAGUUACCAGCAGCUGCCAGCCUCAGUACAAAUGCUGGCAACAAAACCCUGCCACCUGCAAGAACAGCAAGCACUCUUAACUGCUGAGCCGUCUCUCCAGACCGGCCAACCAAAUGUUUAAAAACUGGGUACUGUGAAUCCUGCAAUUUGCUAAAAAGACCUAGUGUCCAUCUUUACCACACUUUUCUAGCCCACUAUUCCCCAGGCUUGGAGAUGCUGACUUCCUAGGAAAACGACAGAAAAGCAAGUGCAUCCCCUUUCUGCUUCCAGGGGAGUGAAGACCCGGAGCAGAAACUGAAGCAGAGCGGCUUCCUGGUUGGCUCCCCGUAGUUUGUGCUACUUGCCUUCUUAAACAAUCCAGGACCACCAGGCCAGGGGUGGCACUGCCUGCAGUGGGGGCUGGGCCGUUCCACAUUCAUCAUUAAUCAAGAAAAUGCCCCACAGACUUGUCCAUAGGCCAGUCUGAUGAAGGUGUGUUCUCAAUUGAAGUUCCCUUUCCCAGAUAUCUCUAACUUGUGUCGAGUUUUGACAAAAAAACUAACCAGGACACCAUUUUAUUCCUACGAAUAAUUGAUUACAUAUAAUUCAUAUGGUUGAAAUGACGUGCACUAUGAGGAGGGAUGUGUGCCGUAGGAAAAGGGAAUAUAUAUCUUCAGUGAAGGUAGAGAGCCACCCUCACUGUGCUCCUUAGUAACCAAGUCCUCUUUUUAUUCAUCCCCAGCCUGGAACAAAAAUCAGGGAACUUGAGAACUCUUACUCAGGUGGCUUUUUAGUUGGUUGGUUGGUUUUUGUUUUGGUUUUUAAGACAGGUGUGGUGGUUUAAAAGAAAAUGGCCCCCAAAGGGAGUGGCAUUACUAGGAGGUGUGGCCUUCUUGAAGGAAGUGUGACACACUGGAGGCAGACUUUGAGGUCUCACAUAUGUUCAAGCCAUGCCCAGUAUCUCAGACCACUUCCUGUUCUCUGUGAAUCAAGAUGUAAGCACUCUCAGCUCGCUCUCCAGCACCAUGUCUGUCUGCACGCCAUCAGACUCCCAGCUGCCAUGCUUCCUGCCAUGACAGUAAGGGACUAGACCUCUGAACCGUAAGCUUCCACAAUUAAACAUUUUCCUUCAUAAGAGUUGCUUUAUAAGAGUUGCCGUGGGGACCGGAGUGGUGGUUCAGAGGUAAAGAACAUUGACUGCUCUUCCAGAAGUCCUGGAAGAACCACACGGUGGCCCACAGCUAUCUAUAAUGAGAUCUGGCACCCUCUUCUGGCAUGCAGGCAUAUAUGCAGGCAAAACUCUGUAUACAUAAUAAACAAAUCUUUAAACAAAGAGUUGUGGUGGUCAUGGAGUCACUUCACAGCAACAGAAACCCCAAGACGACAGAGAUUUUUUGUGUAGUCUUGGCUGUCCUGCAUCUUGCUCUGUUGACCAGGCUGACCUUGAACUCACAGACACACACACCUCCUGAGUGCUGGGAUUAAAGGUGUGUGCCACCACGCCCUGUUGGCUUCUGUCAUUCUUGAUAGCAUAUUCCUCUAGAAGCUAUACUGUUGUUGCUUUGCUUUUAAAUAGCAUCACCAGCUUCUCUGGAGAGUCUAUGUGGGCCCUGGAUUUGGCCAAGAACCCAGGACAGACCCAGCCCACAAGUGUGAGAAGCCACAUGAAGUGUGGCAUCACGACGGUAAGUACACGCAGUGUUGUGCAACCUUCCCCGCUAGUUCCCGAACCUUUCAUCUUUCCAAACUCUACACCCGUUAGACAAUAACUCAGCACACCUGCCUCCUGCCGCCCCAGAGCCUCCACUCUACUUUCUGUCUAUGAAUUUGGAGUCCAGCAAUUCGAACUGAAACCAUACACAGCUAGUCCCUCUGCCCUGCUCAUUUAAAUUAGCACCCUGUCUCAUUGUUCAUCCGUGCUAUAGCGUGCGCUAGACCCUCACUCCUUUCCAAGGUUGGGGCAUAUUCUACCAUCCGCAUAAACCACAUUUUACUUAAUCAUCUCAUCCUUCGACGGACAUCUGGGUCAUUUCCACUUCUUACUUGCUGCUGUGCACAGUCAAGGUUCAAAACUGCAAAACACAUUUCUUAUACUCAAGCCCCUGUUUUCCAAUCCUUCUGGUAAAGCAUCAGCGGGUGCCAGUCUUUAAGCCUGGGAUUUACGCCCAGCUCUUUAGAAUGUUGGGAAACUUACUUGCCUGGAUAGUGUGUAGUCAUUUUCUAGUUUUUCACUUACAAGUUGUUACUGUCCUUUGCUAAAUUCUCCCUGAAUGUCCCCCUACCCUCCAGGACCUUCCUCUCUGUUUCCUGGCACUUGUCACAGUUCCCCAGUGGAUCAGUUGAUGACUUUUGUUUGUUUGGUUGGUUGGUUGGCUGGAUUUUUUGUUGUUGUUGUUUAUUUUUUGCUUCAGUUCCCUGGGAGCUUGUGACAAAAGUAAAGGAGUUUGCCACCACAGCUGUGGUACAAGUUCAAAACAUGUUUUCUGAAUCGAUGAGGUAACAUAAUGUCAGUGCCCUUUGCCUCCGACAGAAACUAUCCAAAGACAGAAAGCGGCUGUCUGGGAGACCCCACUCUAGGAAUCAGGGACUAGUUAGGACUCUUGGCUGCCUGAAGCAGAGGAGGACUGCAAAAAGCACAAGGUGAUGAGGGGCACACGAGACAAGGUCCACGCCAGGAGGAGGAGCUUACCAGUCAGUCCUCAGUCACUCAGCGACCUUUUGUAAAGGCCGCCCCCAAAUCAGCCAUGGGACAAGGAGGGUUUUGAGACAUAAAUAAAUAAAUAAAUAAAUAAAUAAAUAAAUAAAUAAAUAAAUAAAUAAAUCUCUAUUUCUUUUCGCUGAGUCAGUCUAUCAGCGUGCGCACUGGACCAGCCAGGUGGGAGGCUCACCGCUGGUGUUAGCUUUCCAGAGCUGAGCCAGAGGUUACAACACCUGUCAGUCUGUGUGCCCAGAGCUGGUGGGAGGGAAAUCAGAUCCAAAGAGAGCAGAGGUGCCCUUCCCGAAGUCUGGGAGUCCUCACGGGCUUUUAGUCGCUGUUUACAAAAUCCCAGUAACUAAAGACAGCACAAAUCUCAGGUUCAGCCCCGCACGCAGAGACUUUCUAACCUAAUGAGAGUCUGGGGAAAAUAACACUUGCCGAUUUUUUUUUUUUUUUUUUUUUUUUUUUU